CCAAUAGCGUAUAUUAAAGUUGUUGCAGUUAAAAAGCUCGUAGUUGAAUUUCAGGCCUGGCUGGACGGUCCGCCCUUCGGGUGAGUACUGUCUGUGGUCGGGUCCUACCUUCUGGCGAAGCGUCAUGGCCUUAACCGGCCGUGGCGGGGAACCAGGACUUUUACUGUGAAAAAAUUAGAGUGUUCAAAGCAGGCAAUCGCUUGGAUACAUUAGCAUGGAAUAAUGAAAUAGGACGUUCGAUCCUAUUUUGUUGGUUUCUAGGAUUGACGUAAUGAUUAAUAGGGAUAGUUGGGGGCAUUAGUAUUCAAUUGUCAGAGGUGAAAUUCUUGGAUUUAUUGAAGACUAACUACUGCGAAAGCAUUUGCCAAGGAUGUUUUCAUUAAUCAAGAACGAAAGUUAGGGGAUCGAAGACGAUCAGAUACCGUCGUAGUCUUAACCAUAAACUAUGCCGACUAGGAAUCAGACGAUGUUAAUUUUUUAAUGACUCGUUUGGCACCUUACG
rnacentral:rRNA from 1 species